UAACAGUGCUGUCCAUAUUCUUCAGGAUUUCCUGGUAUUGCUGGUUCCCCUGGUGGACCUGGCAUUCCUGGACGACCAGGUUUGGAUGGACUGCCUGGUCAGCCUGGAUUUCCUGGACCCAAAGGAGAGCCUGGUUUUGGUCUACCUGGCCCUCCAGGUCCGACAGGAUUCCCAGGCAGUAAAGGUGUCUUCGGUACUAAAGGUGAUCCUGGUUUCUCUGGAAGCCCUGGUGGACCAGGUCGUCCAGGACUUGACGGUGCCCCUGGACCUAAAGGUGAUCCUGGUUUUCCUGGUGGUCCUGGUCCUCGUGGCCCCCCGGGGCUCCCUGCCUUUGGUACUCAGGGCCCCCCUGGUCCUCCGGGAGCUGCUGGUCCUCUGGGGUCUCCUGGUAUGCUUGCAGUUUUUCUAAGUAGUUUCGCUUUCACAACGAAGCACACAUGUCUUCAC
rnacentral:lncRNA from 1 species